rnacentral:rRNA from 16 species
CACCGCCCGUCGAACACUAUAGGGAGCUGGGCCAUGUUUGAAGUCAUUACCCUUAACCGUAAGGAGGGGGGAUGCCUAAGGCUAGGCUUGCGAACUGGAGUGAAGUCGUAACAAGGUAGCCGUACUGGAAGGUGCGGCUG